rnacentral:rRNA from 1 species
UUGUUCGCAUGAACAACGCUUAAAAGAUGGCUUCUCGCUAUCACUUCUGGAUGGACCUGCGGUGCAUUAGCUUGUUGGUGGGGUAACGGCCUACCAAGGCGAUGAUGCAUAGCCGAGUUGAGAGACUGAUCGGCCACAAUGGGACUGAGACACGGCCCAUACUCCUACGGGAGGCAGCAGUAGGGAAUCUUCCACAAUGGGCGCAAGCCUGAUGGAGCAACACCGCGUGAGUGAAGAAGGGUUUCGGCUCGUAAAGCUCUGUUGUUAAAGAAGAACACGUAUGAGAGUAACUGUUCAUACG